rnacentral:tRNA from 1 species
UGAUUAGCUCAAUUUGGUAGAGCAAUUGCAUUCCAAGCAAUCGGUAGCAGGUUCAAGUCCUGUAUCA